UACGUAGGGACCAAGCGUUGUUCGGAUUUACUGGGCGUAAAGGGCGCGUAGGCGGCGCGGUAAGUCACUUGUGAAAUCUCUGAGCUUAACUCAGAACGGCCAAGUGAUACUGCAGUGCUAGAGUGUGGAAGGGGCAAUCGGAAUUCUUGGUGUAGCGGUGAAAUGCGUAGAUAUCAGGAGGAACACCGGUGGCGAAGGCGGUUCUCUGGGCAUUACCUGACGCUGAGGAGCGAAAGUGUGGGGAGCGAACAGG
rnacentral:rRNA from 1 species